rfam:Gossypium raimondii Chr11_contig_15, whole genome shotgun sequence.
UGUUAAAAUUUUUAUUUAUUUUUAUUAUUAAAAAUUGGUAUAGCUAGCGAAAUAGUCGUUACGUUUCAUGUAUACCUCACGUUAAUAUAUAAAGAUUAAUUUUUAACAGUAAAAAUAAAUAAAAUUUUUAAUG